ensembl:lncRNA
CUUCCCCAUGGCCGCGCCCCUCCCCGCGUCCGUGGCGCGCGCGGCUGCCGGCUCUCUCCCAGGGGCGCCGCGGAGGGUGCGGUCCCGAGCUGGGCGAGGCUUCCUGCGGGCGCCGCGCGCGAGAGACUCCGCUCCUGGGCUCUGCAGUUUCUCCUUGGCCCGCCCAGGAAUAGACACCCACAAAGGGAAGAAAAAGAGAAAACGUUUUCUCUAGGGCCCUUCGCGGGGAAGGCAGCGGCUGCAGCAGUUCUGUUUUAGGUUGGUUCCUGAGGCCUUGUGUUCUGCAACUCUCAGUGUGAUUUAAAAAUCAGAUGGAUGCUGGGACCUCCCUGGUGGUCCAGUGGUUGAGAAUCCACCUGCCAAUGCAUAGGACACAGGUUCGAUUCCUGGUCCAGGAAGAUCCCACAUGCAACGGAGCAACUGAGCUCCACUUAGUUGCUUAGACCUAACUAAGCCAUUAUGUCACAGCUACUGAGCUCAAGCACUGCAGCCACUGAAGCCUGAGAACGUAGAGCCCAUGCUCUGCAACAACAGAAGCCACUGAAAUGAGAAGCCCUAUGCACCAUAACUAGAGAGUAACUCUUGCUCACUGCAACUAGAGAAAGCCUGCACAGCAAGAAAGAUGCUGCUGCUGCUGCUGUGCUGCUCAGUCACAUCUGACUCUUUGCAACCCUAGCCUGCCAGACUCCUCUGUCCAUGGGAUUCUCCAGACAAGAAUACUGGAGUAGGUGGCCAUGCCCUCCUCCAGGGGAUCGUCCCAGCCCAGAGAUCGAACCUGCGUCACUUAUGUCUACUUGCACGGGCAGAUGGGUUCUUUACCACUAGCACCACCUGGGAAGCCCAAUAAAGACCCAGUGCAGCCACAAAUAAAUAAAU